GUUUGAAUCUACAGAUUUAGUGAAUAUAUCAUAUGCCAAAGAAUUUUCCGAAGAAACUAUAUGGUUCAGGUAGUUGAAUAUUGAAUAUAAUAUUUUAUUUUUCAAGGGAAUUCUAUUAAGUUCAGCUCGACAUCCAUCAUUAGAUGCCUUACAGUGAACCCCUAAUAUGUCUUUGAUAAAUUUAACAUGAAGUUUUUCAAAUGGAUCAGAGUCUUUAAAAUGUGAAUCCACCCCCCA
rnacentral:lncRNA from 1 species